rnacentral:rRNA from 1 species
UCCUACGGGAGGCAGCAGUGGGGAAUUUUGGACAAUGGGCGAAAGCCUGAUCCAGCAAUGCCGCGUGUGUGAAGAAGGCCUUCGGGUUGUAAAGCACUUUUGUCCGGAAAGAAAUCCUUGGCUCUAAUACAGUCGGGGGAUGACGGUACCGGAAGAAUAAGCACCGGCUAACUACGUGCCAGCAGCCGCGGUAAUACGUAGGGUGCGAGCGUUAAUCGGAAUUACUGGGCGUAAAGCGUGCGCAGGCGGUUUGCUAAGACCGAUGUGAAAUCCCCGGGCUCAACCUGGGAACUGCAUUGGUGACUGGCAGGCUAGAGUAUGGCAGAGGGGGGUAGAAUUCCACGUGUAGCAGUGAAAUGCGUAGAGAUGUGGAGGAAUACCGAUGGCGAAGGCAGCCCCCUGGGCCAAUACUGACGCUCAUGCACGAAAGCGUGGGGAGCAAACAGGAUUAGAUACCCUGGUAGUCCACGCCCUAAACGAUGUCAACUAGUUGUUGGGGAUUCAUUUCCUUAGUAACGUAGCUAACGCGUGAAGUUGACCGCCUGGGGAGUACGGUCGCAAGAUUAAAACUCAAAGGAAUUGACGGGGACCCGCACAAGCGGUGGAUGAUGUGGAUUAAUUCGAUGCAACGCGAAAAACCUUACCUACCCUUGACAUGGUCGGAAUCCCGCUGAGAGGUGGGAGUGCUCGAAAGAGAACCGGCGCACAGGUGCUGCAUGGCUGUCGUCAGCUCGUGUCGUGAGAUGUUGGGUUAAGUCCCGCAACGAGCGCAACCCUUGUCCUUAGUUGCUACGCAAGAGCACUCUAAGGAGACUGCCGGUGACAAACCGGAGGAAGGUGGGGAUGACGUCAAGUCCUCAUGGCCCUUAUGGGUAGGGCUUCACACGUCAUACAAUGGUCGGAACAGAGGGUUGCCAACCCGCGAGGGGGAGCUAAUCCCAGAAAACCGAUCGUAGUCCGGAUUGCACUCUGCAACUCGAGUGCAUGAAGCUGGAAUCGCUAGUAAUCGCGGAUCAGCAUGCCGCGGUGAAUACGUU